rnacentral:tRNA from 1 species
GGGCCCAUAGCUCAGUUGGUUAGAGCACCUGACUCAUAAUCAGGGAGUCCAUGGUUCAAACCCAUGUGGGCCCA